AUCGCUUCUCGGCCUUUUGGCUAAGAUCAAGUGUAGUAUCUGUUCUUAUCAGUUUAAUAUCUGAUACAUCCCCUACCCGGGGACCAUAUAUUAAAUUGAUUUUUGGAUCAGGGAGAUGGAAUAGGGGCUUGCUCCAUCCAUUGGGGCAGUGGUGGCUCAGCGGUUAAGGCUCUGGGUUACUGAUCAGAA